GCCUAAUACAUGCAAAGUCGAGCGAGCGGAACGUAACAGAUUUACUUCGGGUAAUGACGUUAGGAAAGCGAGCGGCGGGAUGGGUGAGUAACACGUCGGGGGAAGUACUGCCCCCACUAGUCUGGGAUACCACUUGGAAACAGGUGCUAAUACGGGAUAAGAAAGCAGAUCGCAUGAUCAGCUUUUAAAAAGGCGGCGUAAGCUGUCGCUAUGGGAUGGCCCCGCGGUGCAUUAGCUAGUUGGUAAGGUAAAGGCUUACCAAGGCGAUGAUGCAUAGCCGAGUUGAGAGACUGAUCGGCCACAUUGGGACUGAGACACGGCCCAAACUCCUACGGGAGGCAGCAGUAGGGAAUCUUCCACAAUGGACGCAAGUCUGAUGGAGCAACGCCGCGUGAGUGAAGAAGGUUUUCGGAUCGUAAAGCUCUGUUGUUGGUGAAGAAGGAUAGAGGUAGUAACUGGCCUUUAUUUGACGGUAAUCAACCAGAAAGUCACGGGCUAACUACGUGCCAGCAGCCGCGGUAAAU
rnacentral:rRNA from 1 species